rnacentral:rRNA from 1 species
UGCCUCAGUAACGGCGAGUGAAGCGGCAAAAGCUCAAAUGUUGAAAUCCCCCGGGAAUGUGUAAUUGUUGAAGAAGAAUGUUGGGUGCCGGCCGGCAGGGGUUUAAGUCCACUGGAAAGUGGCGCCACAGAGGGUGACAGCCCCGUGAACCCCUUCAAAGCCCUCAUCCCAGAUCUCCAAGAGUCGAGUUGUUUGGGAAUGCAGCUCUAAGUGGGUGGUAAAUUCCAUCUAAAGCUAAAUACCGGCGAGAGACCGAUAGCGAACAAGUACAGUGAUGGAAAGAUGAAAAGCACUUUGAAAAGAGAGUGAAAAAGUACGUGAAAUUGUUGAAAGGGAAGGGCUUGCAAGCAGACACUUAACUGGGCCAGCAUCGGGGCGGCGGGGAGCAAAACCACCGGGGAAUGUACCUUUCGAGGAUUAUAACCCCGGUCCUUACUCCCUCACCAUCCCGAGGCCUGCAAUCUAAGGAUGCUGGCGUAAUGGUUGCAAGUCGCCCGUCUUGAAACACAGACCAAAU